rnacentral:rRNA from 1 species
GACGAACGCUGGCGGCGUGCUUAACACAUGCAAGUCGAACGUAAAGGCCCUGCUUUUGUGGGGUGCUCGAGUGGCGAACGGGUGAGUAACACGUGAGUAACCUGCCCUUGACUUUGGGAUAACUUCAGGAAACUGGGGCUAAUACCGGAUAGGAGCUCCUGCUGCAUGGUGGGGGUUGGAAAGUUUCGGCGGUUGGGGAUGGACUCGCGGCUUAUCAGCUUGUUGGUGGGGUAGUGGCUUACCAAGGCUUUGACGGGUAGCCGGCCUGAGAGGGUGACCGGCCACAUUGGGACUGAGAUACGGCCCAGACUCCUACGGGAGGCAGCAGUGGGGAAUAUUGCACAAUGGGCGGAAGCCUGAUGCAGCAACGCCGCGUGCGGGAUGACGGCCUUCGGUUUGUAAUCCGCUUUCGCCUGUGACGAAGCGUGAGUGACGGUAAUGGGUAAAGAAGCACCGGCUAACUACGUG